AUUGAACGCUGGCGGCAGGCCUAACACAUGCAAGUCGAGCGAGCGGCGGACGGGUGAGUAAUGUAUGGGGACUGCCCGAUAGAGGGGGAUAACUACUGGAAACGGUAGCUAAUACCGCAUACUCUCGGCUAAGCCAUGUGGGAUUAGCUAGUAGGUGGGGUAAUGGCUCACCUAGGCGACGAUCCCUAGCUGGUCUGAGAGGAUGAUCAGCGACACUGGGACUGAGACACGGCCCCGACUCCGACGGAGGCAGCAGUGGGGAAUAUUGCCCAAUGGGCGCAAGCCGGAUGCAGCCAGGCCGCGGGUAUGAAGAAGGCCCUAGGGUUGUAAAGUACUUUCAGUCGGGAGGCGUUACCGACAGAAGAAGCACCGGCUAACUCCGUGCCAGCCGCCGCGGUAAUAC
rnacentral:rRNA from 1 species